rnacentral:rRNA from 1 species
GUAGGGAAUCUUCCACAAUGGACGCAAGUCUGAUGGAGCAACGCCGCGUGAGUGAAGAAGGUCUUCGGAUCGUAAAGCUCUGUUGUUGGUGAAGAAGGAUAGAGGCAGUAACUGGUCUUUAUUUGACGGUAAUCAACCAGAAAGUCACGGCUAACUACGUGCCAGCAGCCGCGGUAAUACGUAGGUGGCAAGCGUUGUCCGGAUUUAUUGGGCGUAAAGCGAGCGCAGGCGGAAUGAUAAGUCUGAUGUGAAAGCCCACGGCUCAACCGUGGAACUGCAUCGGAAACUGUCAUUCUUGAGUGCAGAAGAGGAGAGUGGAACUCCAUGUGUAGCGGUGGAAUGCGUAGAUAUAUGGAAGAACACCAGUGGCGAAGGCGGCUCUCUGGUCUGCAACUGACGCUGAGGCUCGAAAGCAUGGGUAGCGAACAGGAUUAGAUACCCUGGUAGUCCAUGCCGUAAACGGAUGAGCGCUAGGUGUUGGGGC